GUUGGUGUCUCCGUCCGCCCGGCUGGGGCAGCCGCUCCCGAGGGAGCAUAACCGAGAGUUCUGGGUGGCGGUAAACGGGGCACGGAACAGAAGCCGUGAGGUAGAGUGGUUGAAUUCCGUGUGCUGGAGCAGUGUGCUGCGCCCGGGGCGCGGGAACGGGCGAGAGGAGAGUCAGAAACCAGAGCGGGACCUGGUGAGCAGUCAGAAUCCAAUAUGAAGUGUGGAUGAAUCACGCCAGGAAAAUAUGUUUAACAAAUAUGUUGACUCCCACUUAAAUCAACCUCCCCUCCAGCAGGCGAUUUAAAUGGUUGUGAGGCUUCACUGGGAGCUACACAGGGAACUUCUCUGACAGUGAUGAAACACCUUCUGUAGGGCAAGAGAAAUAUCUGGGAAAAUAAUGUUAUUGUUGCCUUGAGAAACUUUGCCUAUGGAAAAUAUCAAGAUAAUUCAUCUCAAUUAAUAAAAGUACCUCUAUGUUUCAGCAACCAGACACAAGAAAAAUAGAGGUCAGUUCCAGAAACCUUUACUCUUAAGAGUAUCCCACUAAAUUCCAAAAGAUGGCUUGUGUCUACAGUGAUGCCCAUGUGAUUAAAGACUGCAAUUUAUCUCUGGAUGCUUCAUGAGAUCUUUUUAAUUUGAAAUCUUUAGUGUUUUUUCAAAGCCAAAUCCAUGCCAAUUACCACAGGACCACUAGACAUUAAAAGCAGAAUCAGAAUCAUCUUGUAACAAAAGUGACUCUUCUUGAAAAGAUAGCCUAGGAAGUGCUUACUGAGAAGAACCAUCAACCAGUCUUCAUAGUAUAUUCUUUGGCAGUAACUGGGCAAAAUAUUCAUUGCAGUGAGUAGUUUAUAUUAAAACCAGUCACACUGAACUUGUACAGUAACCCAUGAAAAUAUCUCCUUUUAAUGUGAUAGCUUACCAUCUUCAUAGUCGUAAGAUAAAUUUGUACCUCAGUUAGGUAUAUUUGAAACAGACAAAAACACUGGCAAAAGAUUGGCGGGUCUGUCUUGGCUGAAGCCAGCUGUGGUUGGAUUAACUUUUGUGUUAAGUAGCUAAUAAAUUACUUUCUGCUAAGUAUUUAGAAGUACAUACUAUGAAGAGUUACUUACCUUCCAAACUUGGCACAAAGCCUGCCUCUGUUACAUGCACACAUAAACCCCAUGUCAACAUUUUACAGGGCGUCUGAGUUCUGGAUAUGCAUUAAUGAAGUAUUUGUCCUAAUAUCUUUUUCCUAACAUUUUCAUAUUUUUUCCAGAUAUGGGAAUAAGCUGGAGAUUGUUAAACUUGAAUAAGAAAAGUCAGACAAAGAUGCUUUACUUACAAGGGUUGACAAUUUGUUCAGCAAACAUAAUCUGAGUAGAAAAAGCUUAAUCCAAAACCCAAUCUACAAAUAUUUUUACACAGAUUUAACCUAUACUACCAGACCAUUUAUAUAAACUACUUGACUAUUUGCCUUCCAUUUUCUGGACAUCGGUGUA